CAAAGAUGUCAAUGUAUAUGUGUCUUUGUUAUUGCCUAGCAGCGCUUGUUGCUUUUCAAACUGAUGCUAAAUCUACACAAAAGAUACUCGGCAAACUAACAGAACCACAAGAUAAUGAUGAGGUUGUAGAUCGUGUGAAAAGAUAUACUAACGACGCAGACUACGUAUAUGUCGAUCAUGGACAGGGGCAUA